GUUCUUGUGGUGUAGUGGUUAUCACAUCCGCCUAACACGCGGAAGGUCCCAGGUUCGAGCCCUGGCAGGAACA
rnacentral:tRNA from 1 species